UCUCUGAUAGUAUAUCGGUUAGUACACGCGCCUGUCACCUUUCAGUUGUUGAUAUCGCGCGAAAGCUGGGUUCGACUCCCAGUCAGAGAG